UUCCGGUUGAUCCUGCCGGACCUGACUGCUAUCGGAUUGAUACUAAGCCAUGCGAGUCAUUGUAGCAAUACAAGGCAUACGGCUCAGUAACGCGUAGUCAACCUACCCUAUGGACGGAAAUAACCUCGGGAAACUGAGAAUAAUAUCCGAUAGAACAUUAUGCCUGGAAUGGUUUAUGUUCCAAAUGAUUUAUCGCCGUAGGAUGGGACUGCGGCCUAUCAGUUUGUUGGUGAGGUAAUGGCCCACCAAGACUAUUACAGGUACGGGCUCUGAGAGGAGUAGCCCGGAGAUGGGUACUGAGACACGGACCCAGGCCCUAUGGGGCGCAGCAGGCGAGAAAACUUUGCAAUGUGCGAARGCACGACAAGGUUAAUCCGAGUGAUUUCUGCUAAAGAAAUCUUUUGUUAGUCCUAGAAACACUAACGAAUAAGGGGUGGGCAAGUUCUGGUGUCAGCCGCCGCGGUAAAACCAGCACCUCAAGUGGUCAGGAUGAUUAUUGGGCCUAAAGCAUCCGUAGCCGGCUCUGUAAGUCCUCGGUUAAAUCUGUACGCUUAACGUACAGGCUGCCGGGAAUACUGCAUAGCUAGGGAGUGGGAGAGGUAGACGGUACUCGGUAGGAAGGGGUAAAAUCCUUUGAUCUAUUGAUGACCACCUGUGGCGAAGGCGGUCUACCAGAACACGUCCGACGGUGAGGGAUGAAAGCUGGGGGAGCAAACCGGAUUAGAUACCCGGGUAGUCCCAGCUGUAAACUAUGCAAACUCAGUGAUGCAUUGGCUUGUGGCCAAUGCAGUGCUGCAGGGAAGCCGUUAAGUUUGCCGCCUGGGAAGUACGUACGCAAGUAUGAAACUUAAAGGAAUUGGCGGGGGAGCACCACAAGGGGUGAAGCCUGCGGUUCAAUUGGAGUCAACGCCGG
rnacentral:rRNA from 2 species